rnacentral:tRNA from 1 species
AGCGCAGUGGCGUAGUGGGUAGAGCUGCUGCCUGCAGUGCCGGCAUCCCAUCUGAGCACAGGUUCAAGUCCUGGCUGCUCUA